rnacentral:rRNA from 1 species
GCAGUCGAGCGGUAGCACAGAGAGCUUGCUCUCGGGUGACGAGCGGCGGACGGGUGAGUAAUGUCUGGGAAACUGCCUGAUGGAGGGGGAUAACUACUGGAAACGGUAGCUAAUACCGCAUAAUGUCGCAAGACCAAAGUGGGGGACCUUCGGGCCUCAUGCCAUCAGAUGUGCCCAGAUGGGAUUAGCUAGUAGGUGGGGUAACGGCUCACCUAGGCGACGAUCCCUAGCUGGUCUGAGAGGAUGACCAGCCACACUGGAACUGAGACACGGUCCAGACUCCUACGGGAGGCAGCAGUGGGGAAUAUUGCACAAUGGGCGCAAGCCUGAUGCAGCCAUGCCGCGUGUGUGAAGAAGGCCUUCGGGUUGUAAAGCACUUUCAGCGGGGAGGAAGGCGAUAAGGUUAAUAACCUUGUCGAUUGACGUUACCCGCAGAAGAAGCACCGGCUAACUCCGUGCCAGCAGCCGCGGUAAUACGGAGGGUGCAAGCGUUAAUCGGAAUUACUGGGCGUAAAGCGCACGCAGGCGGUCUGUCAAGUCGGAUGUGAAAUCCCCGGGCUCAACCUGGGAACUGCAUUCGAAACUGGCAGGCUAGAGUCUUGUAGAGGGGGGUAGAAUUCCAGGUGUAGCGGUGAAAUGCGUAGAGAUCUGGAGGAAUACCGGUGGCGAAGGCGGCCCCCUGGACAAAGACUGACGCUCAGGUGCGAAAGCGUGGGGAGCAAACAGGAUUAGAUACCCUGGUAGUCCACGCCGUAAACGAUGUCGAUUUGGAGGUUGUGCCCUUGAGGCGUGGCUUCCGGAGCUAACGCGUUAAAUCGACCGCCUGGGGAGUACGGCCGCAAGGUUAAAACUCAAAUGAAUUGACGGGGGCCCGCACAAGCGGUGGAGCAUGUGGUUUAAUUCGAUGCAACGCGAAGAACCUUACCUGGUCUUGACAUCCACAGAACUUUCCAGAGAUGGAUUGGUGCCUUCGGGAACUGUGAGACAGGUGCUGCAUGGCUGUCGUCAGCUCGUGUUGUGAAAUGUUGGGUUAAGUCCCGCAACGAGCGCAACCCUUAUCCUUUGUUGCCAGCGGUCCGGCCGGGAACUCAAAGGAGACUGCCAGUGAUAAACUGGAGGAAGGUGGGGAUGACGUCAAGUCAUCAUGGCCCUUACGACCAGGGCUACACACGUGCUACAAUGGCAUAUACAAAGAGAAGCGACCUCGCGAGAGCAAGCGGACCUCAUAAAGUAUGUCGUAGUCCGGAUUGGAGUCUGCAACUCGACUCCAUGAAGUCGGAAUCGCUAGUAAUCGUAGAUCAGAAUGCUACGGUGAAUACGUUCCCGGGCCUUGUACACACCGCCCGUCACACCAUGGGAGUGGGUUGCAAAAGAAGUAGGUAGCUUAACCUUCGGGAGGGCGCUUAC